GUGCCAGCCGCCGCGGUAAUACGGAGGAUCCAAGCGUUAUCCGGAUUUAUUGGGUUUAAAGGGUGCGUAGGCGGACCCUUAAGUCAGUGGUGAAAGUUUGCAGCUCAACUGUAAAAUUGCCAUUGAAACUGAGGGUCUUGAGUGUAAAUGAGGUAGGCGGAAUGUGUUGUGUAGCGGUGAAAUGCUUAGAUAUAACACAGAACACCAAUUGCGAAGGCAGCUUACUGGGAUACAACUGACGCUGAGGCACGAAAGCGUGGGGAUCAAACAGGAUUAGAAACCCUAGUAGUC
rnacentral:rRNA from 1 species